rnacentral:rRNA from 1 species
UAAUACAUGCAAGUCGAACGCGCAGCGAAAGGUGCUUGCACCUUUCAAGCGAGUGGCGAACGGGUGAGUAACACGUGGAUAACCUGCCUCAAGGCUGGGGAUAACAUUUGGAAACAGAUGCUAAUACCGAAUAAAACUUAGUAUCGCAUGAUACAAAGUUGAAAGGCGCUACGGCGUCACCUAGAGAUGGGUCCGCGGUGCAUUAGUUAGUUGGUGGGGUAAAGGCCUACCAAGACAAUGAUGCAUAGCCGAGUUGAGAGACUGAUCGGCCACAUUGGGACUGAGACACGGCCCAAACUCCUACGGGAGGCUGCAGUAGGGAAUCUUCCACAAUGGGCGAAAGCCUGAUGGAGCAACGCCGCGUGUGUGAUGAAGGCUUUAGGGUCGUAAAGCACUGUUGUAUGGGAAGAAAUGCUAGAAUAGGGAAUGAUUCUAGUUCGACGGUACCAUACCAGAAAGGGACGGCUAAAUACGUGCCAGCAGCCGCGGUAAUACGUAUGUCCCGAGCGUUAUCCGGAUUUAUUGGGCGUAAAGCGAGCGCAGACGGUUGAUUAAGUCUGAUGUGAAAGCCCGGAGCUCAACUCCGGAAUGGCAUUGGAAACUGGUUAACUUGAGUGUUGUAGAGGUAAGUGGAACUCCAUGUGUAGCGGUGGAAUGCGUAGAUAUAUGGAAGAACACCAGUGGCGAAGGCG